UACGUAGGUGGCAAGCGUUGUCCGGAUUUAUUGGGUUUAAAGGGUGCGUAGGCGGUCCUGUAAGUCAGUGGUGAAAUCUCCGGGCUCAACCCGGAAACUGCCAUUGAUACUAUUAGUCUUGAAUAUCGUUGAGGUAGGCGGAAUAUAUCAUGUAGCGGUGAAAUGCAUAGAUAUGAUAUAGAACACCGAUUGCGAAGGCAGCUUGCUAAACGAUUAUUGACGCUGAGGCACGAAAGCGUGGGGAUCAAACAGG
rnacentral:rRNA from 1 species